GUAGUCUGCAACCCGGCCUACAUGAAGCUGGAAUCGCUAGUAAUCGCGGAUCAGAAUGCCGCGGUGAAUACGUUCCCGGGUCUUGUACACACCGCCCGUCACACCAUGGGAGCCGGAAAUGCCCGAAGUCAGUGACCCAACCGCAAGGAGGGAGCUGCCGAAGGUGGAGCUGGUAACUGGGGUGAAGUCGUAACAAGGUACC
rnacentral:rRNA from 1 species